rnacentral:rRNA from 1 species
AUGAACGCUGGCGGCGUGCUUAAGACAUGCAAGUCGAACGAGGGCUUCUUGUAGUAAUACGAGGAGUUCCUAGUGGCGAAUGGGUGCGUAACACGUAGGUGACCUGCCCUGAAGAGGAGGAUAACAGUCCGAAAGGACUGCUAAUACUCCAUGUGGUCCUGGAGGUUAGAGGCUCUAGGUCUAAAGUUGCAAAACGCUUCAGGAGGGGCCUGCGGCCCAUCAGCUAGUUGGUAGGGUAAUGGCCUACCAAGGCGACGACGGGUAGGGGACCUGAGAGGGUGGCCCCCCACAUUGGCACUGACACACGGGCCAAACUCCUACGGGAGGCAGCAGUCGGGAAUAUUGCGCAAUGGACGAAAGUCUGACGCAGCAACGCCGCGUGAGCGAUGAAGGCCUUCGGGUCGUAAAGCUCUUUUCGGGAGGAUGAGGAAGGACAGUACUCCCGGAAUAAGUCACGGCUAACUACGUGCCAGCAGCCGCGGUAAAACGUAGGUGACAAGCGUUAUCCGGAUUUACUGUGCGUAAAGCGCGUUCAGGCGGUUUGGCAAGUCGGGCAUGAAAUCUCCUGGCUCAACCAGGAGGAGCUGUCCGAUACUUCCAGACUUGAGGGCAGUAGAGGGUGGUGGAAUUCCGGGUGUAGUGGUGAAAUGCGUAGAUAUCCGGAGGAACACCUGUGGCGAAAGCGGCCACCUGGACUGCUCCUGACGCUGAAACGCGAAAGCUAGGGGAGCGAACGGGAUUAGAAACCCCGGUAGUCCUAGCCGUAAACGGUGUUGACUAGGUGUCGACGGUCUAAACCCCGCCGGUGCCGGAGCAAACGCGUUAAGUCAACCGCCUGGGGACUACGGCCGCAAGGUUAAAACUCAAAGGAAUUGACGGGGACCCGCACAAGCAGCGGAGCGUGUGGUUUAAUUCGAGGCUACGCGAAGAACCUUACCAGGGUUUGACAUGCAAGUAGUAGUGAAGCGAAAGCGGAACGACCCUUCGGGGAGCUUGCACAGGUGAUGCAUGGCUGUCGUCAGCUCGUGCCGUGAGGUGUUUGGUUAAGUCCACUAACGAGCGCAACCCUUAGCGUCAGUUACAAGUGUCUGGCGCGACUGCCGGUAUUAAGCCGGAGGAAGGUGGGGAUGAUGUCAAGUCAGCAUGUCCUUUAUACCCUGGGCUACACACACGCUACAAUGGCCAGCACAGUGGGUUGCCAAGCCGCGAGGCGGAGCCAAUCCUAAAAAACUGGUCUCAGUUCGGAUUGUAGGCUGCAACCCGCCUACAUGAAGUCGGAGUUGCUAGUAACCGCAGGACAGCUAUACUGCGGUGAAUACGUUCCCGGGCCUUGUACACACCGCCCGUCACAUCACGAAAGCUGGCUGUACUAGAAGUCGCUACGCUAACCCGCAAGGGAGGCAGGUGCCUAAGGUAUGGUCAGUGAUUGGGGUG